rnacentral:rRNA from 1 species
GAUGAACGCUGGCGGCGUGCCUAAUACAUGCAAGUCGAGCGAACGGACGAGAAGCUUGCUUCUCUGAUGUUAGCGGCGGACGGGUGAGUAACACGUGGAUAACCUACCUAUAAGACUGGGAUAACUUCGGGAAACCGGAGCUAAUACCGGAUAAUAUUUUGAACCGCAUGGUUCAAAAGUGAAAGACGGUCUUGCUGUCACUUAUAGAUGGAUCCGCGCUGCAUUAGCUAGUUGGUAAGGUAACGGCUUACCAAGGCAACGAUGCAUAGCCGACCUGAGAGGGUGACCGGCCACACUGGAACGGAGACACGGUCCAGACUCCUACGGGAGGCGGAAGUAGGGAAUCUUCCGCAAUGGGCGAAGGCCGGACGGGGCAACGCCGCGUGAGUGAUGAAGGUCUUCGGAUCGUAAAACUCUGUUAUUAGGGAAGAACAUAUGUGUAAGUAACUGUGCACAUCUUGACGGUACCUAAUCAGAAAGCCACGGCUAACUACGUG